rnacentral:rRNA from 1 species
ACGGGUGAGUAAUGCCUAGGAAUCUGCCUGGUAGUGGGGGAUAACGUUCGGAAACGGACGCUAAUACCGCAUACGUCCUACGGGAGAAAGCAGGGGACCUUCGGGCCUUGCGCUAUCAGAUGAGCCUAGGUCGGAUUAGCUAGUUGGUGAGGUAAUGGCUCACCAAGGCGACGAUCCGUAACUGGUCUGAGAGGAUGAUCAGUCACACUGGAACUGAGACACGGUCCAGACUCCUACGGGAGGCAGCAGUGGGGAAUAUUGGACAAUGGGCGAAAGCCUGAUCCAGCCAUGCCGCGUGUGUGAAGAAGGUCUUCGGAUUGUAAAGCACUUUAAGUUGGGAGGAAGGGCAGUUACCUAAUACGUGAUUGUUUUGACGUUACCGACAGAAUAAGCACCGGCUAACUCUGUGCCAGCAGCCGCGGUAAUACAGAGGGUGCAAGCGUUAAUCGGAAUUACUGGGCGUAAAGCGCGCGUAGGUGGUUUGUUAAGUUGGAUGUGAAAUCCCCGGGCUCAACCUGGGAACUGCAUUCAAAACUGACUGACUAGAGUAUGGUAGAGGGUGGUGGAAUUUCCUGUGUAGCG